rnacentral:Y_RNA from 1 species
AGCUGGUCCGAGUGCGGUGGGGUUUGCAACUCAUUGAUCACAACCAGUUACACAUUCCUUUAUUCCUUCUCCAGUCCCACUGCUUCACUUGACUUGCCUAAA